UUGACGGAGAGUUUGAUCCUGGCUCAGGACGAACGCUGGCGGCGUGCUUAAUACAUGCAAGUCGAACGCUCUCGACCUUCGGGUCAUUUGAGAGAGUGGCGAACGGGUGCGUAACACGUGAGAAACCUGCCCCAAAGACGGGAAUAGCCCGAGGAAACUCGGAUUAAUACCCGAUAUCUCCACAAUACCGCAUGGUAAUGUGAAGAAAGUUCAGGCGCUUUGGGAGGGUCUCGCGGCCUAUCAGCUUGUUGGUGAGGUAACGGCUCACCAAGGCAUCGACGGGUAGCUGGUCUGAGAGGACGAUCAGCCACACUGGGACUGAGACACGGCCCAGACUCCUACGGGAGGCAGCAG
rnacentral:rRNA from 1 species